GACGAACGCUGGCGGCGUGCUUAACACAUGCAAGUCGAACGGAAAGGCCCUGCUUUUGUGGGGUGCUCGAGUGGCGAACGGGUGAGUAACACGUGAGUAACCUGCCCUUGACUUUGGGAUAACUUCAGGAAACUGGGGCUAAUACCGGAUAUGAGCUCCUGCUGCAUGGUGGGGGUUGGAAAGUUUCGGCGGUUGGGGAUGGACUCGCGGCUUAUCAGCUUGUUGGUGGGGUAGUGGCUUACCAAGGCUUUGACGGGUAGCCGGCCUGAGAGGGUGACCGGCCACAUUGGGACUGAGAUACGGCCCAGACGCAUACGGGAGGCAGCAGUGGGGAAUAUUGCACAAUGGGCGGAAGCCUGAUGCAGCAACGCCGCGUGCGGGAUGACGGCCUUCGGGUUGUAAACCGCUUUCGACUGUGACGAAGCGUGAGUGACGGUAAUGGGUAAAGAAGCACCGGCUAACUACGUG
rnacentral:rRNA from 1 species